GGUGAACGCUGGCGGCGUGCCUAAUACAUGCAAGUCGAGCGCAGGAAACCGUUCCGAACCCUUCGGGGGGACGACGGUGGAAUGAGCGGCGGACGGGUGAGUAACACGUAAAGAACCUGCCCAUAGGUCUGGGAUAACCACGAGAAAUCGGGGCUAAUACCGGAUGUGUCAUCGGACCGCAUGGUCCGCUGAUGAAAGGCGCUCCGGCGUCGCCCAUGGAUGGCUUUGCGGUGCAUUAGCUAGUUGGUGGGGUAACGGCCCACCAAGGCGACGAUUAAUAGCCGACCUGAGAGGGGGAUCGGCCACACUGGGACUGAGACACGGCCCAGACUCCUACGGGAGGCAGCAGGAGGGAAUCUUCACAAUGGUCGAAAGUCUGAUGGAGCAACGCCGCGUGAACGAUGAAGGCUUUCGGGUCGUAAAGUUCUGUUGUAAGGGAAGAACAAGUGCCGCAGGCAAUGGCGGCACCUUGACGGUACCUUGCGAGAAAGCCACGGCUAACUACGUGCCAGCCGCCGCCGUAA
rnacentral:rRNA from 1 species